CACGAACCCGUGUCCCCUGCAUUGGCAGGCGGACUCUCAACCACCGUGCCACCAGGGAAGCCCGGGUUUAUGGGUUUUAUAUACACAGAGUGCUAGAUGGAUCAGUAGAUGGCCAGGUGGUUUCUCAUACUGCCCAUCAGUGGUUGUUAUUCACCCUGGGAUUUUUGCCGGCAUCCCUUCAAGAGAGGAAGGUAUGUCUUAUUAACGUUUAAUCUCAGAUAUCCAGUUAUCCAUGGAAGGCCGAUGUGUCUUGAAAUGAUAGAAUUGAACAAGGAAUUUGUGGGUGUCCCAGUGGAAUAAGAUGUAUACCAAACACAAUUUACACAAUUUUUUCAGCUUCAUGUAAAGACAUCACAGUGAACCUAUCAACAGCAGGUAACAAGGCACAUAGCAGGUAUUGAGGUAAGUGAUAAUUUGGGCCUAAACCACAGCCCAGAUCAUGUGAUCUUCACACAUAUGAGUAAGUGAUGAUUGUGUCCGUAACACUUGUGCUCCCCUAUUUUUGUUUUUUGCAGGUAUUCUGUUCAGGUCUUUGGUGGUACAUAGGGCUUGCCAAGAGAUCAGGCAGCGAGCCUCUCUAUGGCAGUUGAUGGCGGGACAUCGCUGGUGUUGAGAUAAGUGAUGGCGUGGGCCUAAACCAUCCAGUCUUCCUGUACGUAGGUAAGUGAUGACGGGUGUCAGUGCUGCUUGUCACCGUGACUUUGUUGCAGGUGCUCAGGUAAGAAAUGAACAGGUAGUCUUUACCAAAUCUAGAGACCAUGACUUUUCACUUUUUAUAUGUUAGGGAAAAUUUAUGUUUAACACUAGGAAUGCCCAAGGGUUACAGGUAUACAGGUAUUUAUCAUGAUUUUCCCCACCACAGUACUACCCAUAGGAUUUGUAUAGGUGUCCAGUCAAGAAAUGACAGUUUUCCAACCUUGGCAUCAACCUUGGAUUACUGUAAGUAUCCAGGUAAAGUUGAUAUAUCUCCGAACGAUUAAGUGAGCAAGAUUAUUUGCAGGUGUCCUGGUAGAAAAAACUG